GCCAGUGUGGUGUAGUGGUUUGAGCAUUGGACUAUGACUCCAGAGAACAGGGUGCGAAUCCCACUCAGCCA
rnacentral:tRNA from 1 species